GGCGAGAUAGCUCAGUUGGUAGAGCAGUGGACUGAAAAUCCAUGUGUCCGCAGUUCAAUUCUGCGUCUCGCCA
rnacentral:tRNA from 1 species